rnacentral:rRNA from 1 species
AUGAUGCUCAAUCGGCAGUACCGCAAUCUCAAGCAGAGUGACCUCUUUGUCAUCGAAUAUGAUUGUCGCAUGAAGCUUCUCACCGACGGCCUCGCCGACAUCGACCAUGCCGUUACCGAGGUGGAUCUCUCCACCCAGUUCUUGCACGGCCUCGACAAACGCCUUGAGACCAUCCGUGUCGUUCUCGGGGAUCAGGUGCCUAACAUGCCCUUCGACGCCAUUCUCUCCCGCGUCGUCCUCGCCAAACAGUCCAUGGCGCAGCGGGCUACUGAGGAGAGCGCUUCGGGGUUCGCUUUCCCUGGCAGCGGCUCCUCUGGUGGUAGCGCCUCUGGCUCGGCUGGGCGCUCUCAUGGCGAUCGCGGGGAGCGCGCACCUGACCGCAGCUCUGGCCGCUCCUCUGCCCCACAUCCUCAGCACCAAACCCGUGGUCAUGGUGACCGCGGCGGCAAUGGCGGUGACCGCGGCCGUGGCCGUGGACGUGGGCGGACCGAUUCGGGCGGACGCAGCAACUCGUCCCAACCUCCGCUCUCUCCGUUCACGAGCUACUUCGCUCCCUACGGCAUGGCGCUGCCGGCUCGGCGCUCCGGCUGGGUGUCGCCCAACUCCGCCGGGGUCCUUGGCCCUCGUCCUAGUGCGCACGCCCACGCCUACCGGAUGUACCAGCCGGCGCCCUCACCGCCAUCUCCGUACUACUCGGCGCCGCAGCCCUCUUGGGAGCAUCUCGCCAUGUUGAAUGCCGCGUACAGCAACGGUGGCAUCCCCGCCAACCCCCCGCUGGAGUGGUACCUGGACAGUGGUGCCUCCUCCCACGUCACCGGCAACCAAGGAUCUUCGCAUGCGGAGGGUUCUCAUGAUCUCCAUUAG